CCCUAGACUAUACCCAGAAAAAUGGCACUGCAGAGCUGAUGGGCCAUGUACCUAUCCAAAAUGAGAUCCCAUCUUGCACACUGUGCUAAUUUGAGAUUCUCAUGCCUCCUACUUGGAGAGAUCUGGACUAGAAGUCAGGGCAUCUGACUCUGCCAGCCACUGCUAC
rnacentral:ribozyme from 2 species